rnacentral:rRNA from 1 species
AUUGAACGCUGGCGGCAGGCCUAACACAUGCACGUCGAACUAGUGGCGGCAGGGUGAGUAAUGUCUGGGAAACUGCCAGAUGGAGGGGGCUAACUACUGGAAACGGUAGCUAAUAACGACUCCCAUCAGAUGUGCCAAGAUGGGAUUAGCUAGUUGGUGGGGUAACGGCUAACCAAGUCGACGUGCCAUAGCUGGUCUGAGAGGAUGACCAGCCACACUGGAACUGAGACACGGUCCAUACUCCGACUUGAGGCAGCAGAGGGGAAUAUUGCACAAGGGGCGCAAACCGGAUGCAGCCGUGCCGAUUGUAUGAAGAAGGCCUUCGGGUUGUAAAGUACUUUCAGCGGUGAGGCGUUACCCGCAGAAGAAGCACCGGCUAACUCCGUGCCAGCCGCCGCGGUAAUUA